rnacentral:lncRNA from 1 species
AGAUACUUUAAUACACAUGGAUGUGAAACAUUACCGGAAGCUCCAUAUAAAGUCUAUGGAGAAACGUCACUUCCUGUUGUCUCCAUGCUAUACAACAAAGAAAAUGGCGAGUGAGUAAUAGGUUAAUGCAUGAUAUGAAUUGAGACUUUUACUUAAUUGCCUCCUGUGUGUUGAGCUAUUCACCAAAAGAUGGCAAUUUUUCAACAAUUAACCACCUUGGGCAAAAUUUCUAGCCAAUGCUCACAGAUAUUCAAGGAACACAACAUUAGGAGACUACUUCGAACAGCAGAAAAAGGGUUCGAAAUGCCACCAUUUUUGAGGGUUCUGACUAUAGGCCUAACAGGAAAUAUAUAUAAAAGUAUUAUUUCAUUCACUUCCAAAGGACUGGUUGUUAUCUACCAAUGAUAAUUCAAUUAUAUUUUUAUCUCUUAUUAUUUUUAAUUUUAGAAUCUGUCAUUCACUCAGUACCCAAAGGACUCAUGUAUCACACUUCAUGGUGAAGAAGAGGCUAUGAUUUCUGCUAGCCUAUAAGCUCAGAACUUGUACAAUUAUUUGCUACUUAUUUGCUAUAUUAAUUCUGAAUUUUUAAAAUUAUAACAUAAAAAUCAUGGUCGGUAUAUAUACUUAGUGACUAGUAUGUUGUAUCAUAGCUCACUGAGCUCAGUGUAAUAGUCAUCCUAUCUUUAUUCCUAUUGUUUUAUAGCAAUCAAUAUGACAUGGUUUAAAACUCAAUAUUUUCCAAGAA